rnacentral:rRNA from 1 species
AGGGCACCACCAGGAGUGGAGCCUGCGGCUUAAUUUGACUCAACGCGGGGAAACUUACCCGGCCCGGACACCGUAAGGAUUGACAGAUUGAGAGCUCUUUCUUGAUUCGGUGGGGGGUGGUGCAUGGCCGUUCUUAGUUGGUGGAGCGAUUUGUCUGGUUAAUUCCGAUAACGAACGAGACUCUAGCCUAUUAAAUAGUCGGUAAAUCCUUUGUUUACUGUACUUCUUAGAGGGACAGAAGGCGUCUAGCCUUACGAGAUUGAGCAAUAACAGGUCUGUGAUGCCCUUAGAUGUUCGGGGCUGCACGCGCGCUACACUGAAGGAUUCAACGUGAUUUUUCACCUGUUCUGGAAAGAAUGGGUAACCCGUUGAAACUCCUUCGUGAUUGGGAUAGGGGCUUGUAAUUAUUCCCCUUGAACGAGGAAUUCCUAGUAAGUGCGGGUCACCAUCUCGCGUUGAUUACGUCCCUGCCCUUUGUACACACCGCCCGUCGCUACUACCGAUUGGAUGAUUUAGUGA